UACGAAGGGUGCAAGCGUUAAUCGGAAUUACUGGGCGUAAAGCGUGCGUAGGCGGUGACGUAAGUCGGGUGUGAAAUCCCUCGGCCUAACCGAGGAACUGCGCCCGAUACUGCGUUGCUUGAGGACCAGAGGGGUGCAUGGAAUUUCCCGGUGGAGCGGUGAAAUGCGUUGAUAUCGGAAGGAACUCCGGCGGCGAAAGCGAUGCACUGGCUGGUUUCUGACGCUGAGGUGCGAAAGCCAGGGGAGCAAACGGG
rnacentral:rRNA from 1 species